rnacentral:lncRNA from 1 species
CGAGGAAGGUGAGAAACACACCUGGGCACACCUGGGCACACCUGGGCACGUGUGGGUUAACGUGGGUUAACGUAGGACAGGUGUGGGACAGGUCAGACACACCUGGGCAGGUGAGAAACACACCUGAGAUAGGUAUGGGGCAGGUAUGGGACAGCUGAGAUACGUGGGACAGGUGAGACAGGUGAGAAACACACCUGGGCACACCUGGGCACACCUGGGCAGGUGUGGGUUAACGUGGGUUAACGUAGGACAGGUGUGGGACAGGUCAGACACACCUGGGCAGGUGAGAGACACACCUGAGAUACACCUGGGCAGGUGUGGGUUAGUGUGGGUUAAUGUAGGACAGGUGUGGGACAGGUGAGACACACCUGGGAAGGUGAGAGACACACUUGAGACACACCUGAGGUACACCUGGGCAGGUGUGGGUUAACGUGGGACAGGUGUGGGAUAGGUGAGACACACCUGAGACACACCUGAGACACACCUGAGACAGGUGAGACACACCUGAGAUACACCUGAGAUAGGUAUGGGACAGGUAUGGGACAGCUGAGAUACCUGGGACAGGUGUGGGACAGGUAAGACACACCUGGGAAGGUGAGAAACACACCUGAGACACACCUGGGCAGGUGUGGGUUAACGUGGGACAGGUGCGGGACAGGUGUGGGACAGGUGAGACACACCUGGAAAGGUGAGAAACACACCUGAGAUAGGUAUGGGGCAGGUAUGGGACAGGUGAGAUACCUGGGACAGGUGAGACAGGUGAGAAACACACCUGGGCACACCUGAGACACACCUGGGCAGGUGAGUGACACACCUGAGAUAGGUAAGGGACAGGUGAGAUACCUGGGACAGGUGUGGGACAGGUGAUCCUGCUCGAUGACAACUUCACCUCCAUGGUCACCAGAAGGUCCGGUUUGGGCCAUUUUGGGGUGAAUCCGUGCGUUUAUGGGGCCGCUGGUGACGGUUUUUGCCAUUUUUUGCUGUUUUUGAUGGUUUUUGAUGGUUUUUUGCCGUUUUUCGCCUCAGGGCGCCUGAUUUUCGACAAUCUGAAGAAAUCGAUCGCGUACACGCUGACCAGCAACAUCCCCGAGAUCACCCCGUUCCUNAUCACGGCCAAGGCCAUCGCCAAGGGCGUGGGGAUCAUCUCCGAGGGCAAUGAGACCGUGGAGGACAUCGCGGCGCGGCUCAACAUACCUGUCAGCCAGGUGAACCCCAGGUGAGACAGAGACAGGUGAGACAGGUGUGACAUAGCCAGGUGUGACAUCG